rnacentral:tRNA from 1 species
CGAACAGGUCGAAGGGGCGGGCGCCGGGGGCUAUGACCUGCCAGGCUUUCCGUCGUUCGACGCGGCGCUGCUCGCC